rnacentral:misc_RNA from 1 species
GACAUGGACCGCUUUGGAGAUAUUGCUAGUCUGGAUGAUAAUGCCGAACAGUUUCUUCCACAUGAUGGAGUAAAUGGAAGCAAUUUAUAUGGAACGCUAAAGCAUAGCUCCACUGAGCACCAAAAAGCAUCUACUAAAGGUUUUACUUUUGAUGAGGUUGGUUGCAUACGGACAAGAAAUAGCAAGGUCACUUGCUGUCAUUUUUCUUCAGAUGGAAAGUUGCUAGCCAGUGCCGGGCAUGACAAGAAGGUUGUCCUG